rnacentral:rRNA from 1 species
GACGAACGCUGGCGGCGUGCCUAAUACAUGCAAGUCGAACGCAUAAGCUUGGUACUUGUCCCGAUCGGCUGAGCCGAGAACGGGUGAGUAACGCGUGGGAACUCUUCCUUAGAGUGGGGGACAUCAGGGGAAAACGAAUGCUAACACCGCAUAAAAACUUUAAACACAAGUUUUAAGUUUGAAAGACGCAGUUGCAUGACUCACAGACGAUCCCGCAUUGUGUUAGCUAGUUGGUGAGGUAAAGGGUCACCAAGGCGAGGAUACAUAGCCGACCUGAGAGGGUGAGCGGCCACAUUGGGACUGAGACACGGCCCAAACGCCUACGGGAGGCAGCAGUAGGGAAUCUUCGGCAAUGGACGAGAGUCUGACCGAGCAACGCCGCGGGAGUGAAGAAGGUUUUCGGAUCGUAAAACUCUGUUGUUAGAGAAGAACGUGGGUGAGAGUGGAAAGCUCAUCAAGUGACGGUAACUAGCCAGAAAGCGACGGCUAACUACGUG